AGAGUUUGAUCCUGGCUCAGAUUGAACGCUGGCGGCAUGCCUUACACAUGCAAGUCGAACGGCAGCACGGGAGCAAUCCUGGUGGCGAGUGGUGAACGGGUGAGUAAUGUAUCGGAACGUACCUUUCAGUGGGGGAUAACGUAGCGAAAGUUACGCUAAUACCGCAUAUUCUGUGAGCAGGAAAGCAGGGGAUCGCAAGACCUUGCGCUGAUUGAGCGGCCGAUAUCAGAUUAGCUAGUUGGUGAGGUAAAGGCUCACCAAGGCGACGAUCUGUAGCGGGUCUGAGAGGAUGAUCCGCCACACUGGAACUGAGACACGGUCCAGACUCCUACGGGAGGCAGCAGUGGGGAAUUUUGGACAAUGGGGGCAACCCUGAUCCAGCCAUGCCGCGUGAGUGAAGAAGGCCUUCGGGUUGUAAAGCUCUUUCAGCCGGGAAGAAAACGCAUGGGUUAAUACCCUGUGUGGAUGACGGUACCGGAAUAAGAAGCACCGGCUAACUACGUGCCAGCAGCCGCGGUAA
rnacentral:rRNA from 1 species